ACUGGCUCACCAGUCAUGUUUUUAUGUAUAUAAAUAUGUGUGUGUGUGUGUGUGUGUAAAAUACACACAUCCAAACAUAUGCAUGCACAUACAUAUAUA
rnacentral:miRNA from 12 species